rnacentral:lncRNA from 1 species
CAAAAUGUGUCGUUUUAAAUUUGCUACCUUUAUUUCUUGUACAUUCAAUAUGGCUAUGGGGUGGAGAGAACAUAGGUGAAAGAGUGUGAGCUCCCUUUGAACAGUACAUGACAGUAACAAUGCUAGGGAACAGCUUUGGGAAAUAAUGUUGAGAACAAAUGGCCUUGUUCAAUCUCGGCUACCCAGUGAGGCUGUAAUAAUGUAUGAAAGAAGGGGGAAUGAAUGAAUUCCUGGUGUUUGCAAUGCUAGCCGCUAACUCUCCCGGCUAUUGAAAUCUCAGUGAUUCAGGAGCUGCGAUUGGAGCCGGGAUCCCAGCUCAGCUUGGGGGCGGGGCGUGAGUCCGCCGGAAACGCCCGGCCGCCCCGCCCUCCAGCUUCCCCCACGCGGUUGCUAGGCUACCGGGGCUGUGGCAGAAGUCAGUGGCCCCAGAUCUCGUCGCGCGUGUCGUCUGCCCGCUUCUCCUGUGUA